GUGUGCUCGCUUCAUACGUAUACUAAAAUUGGAAUGAUGCAGAGAAAAUUAGCAUGGCGCCUGCGCAAGGAUGCCAUGCAAAUUCGUGAAGCGUUUCGUGUUUGU